rnacentral:rRNA from 1 species
GAUGAACGCUGGCGGCGUGCUUAACACAUGCAAGUCGAACGAAGCAUUUGCGACAGAUUUUUUCGGAAUGAAGUUGCUUAUGACUGAGUGGCGGACGGGUGAGUAACGCGUGGGUAACCUGCCUUGUACUGGGGGAUAGCAGCUGGAAACGGCUGGUAAUACCGCAUAAGCGCACAAUGUUGCAUGACAUGGUGUGAAAAACUCCGGUGGUAUAAGAUGGACCCGCGUCUGAUUAGCUAGUUGGUGAGAUAACAGCCCACCAAGGCGACGAUCAGUAGCCGACCUGAGAGGGUGACCGGCCACAUUGGGACUGAGACACGGCCCAGACUCCUACGGGAGGCAGCAGUGGGGAAUAUUGCACAAUGGAGGAAACUCUGAUGCAGCGACGCCGCGUGAGUGAAGAAGUAAUUCGUUAUGUAAAGCUCUAUCAGCAGGGAAGAUAGUGACGGUACCUGACUAAGAAGCUCCGGCUAAAUACAUG